rnacentral:rRNA from 1 species
GCCGCCGCGGUAAUACGGAGGAUCCAAGCGUUAUCCGGAAUCAUUGGGUUUAAAGGGUCCGUAGGCGGUCAGAUAAGUCAGUGGUGAAAGCCCAUCGCUCAACGGUGGAACGGCCAUUGAUACUGUCUGACUUGAAUUAUUAGGAAGUAACUAGAAUAUGUAGUGUAGCGGUGAAAUGCUUAGAGAUUACAUGGAAUACCAAUUGCGAAGGCAGGUUACUACUAAUAUAUUGACGCUGAUGGACGAAAGCGUGGGUAGCGAACAGGAUUAGAUACCCUGGUAGUCCACGCCGUAAACGAUGGAUACUAGCUGUUGGGAGCAAUCUCAGUGGCUAAGCGAAAGUGAUAAGUAUCCCACCUGGGGAGUACGAACGCAAGUUUGAAACUCAAAGGAAUUGACGGGGGCCCGCACAAGCGGUGGAGCAUGUGGUUUAAUUCGAUGAUACGCGAGGAACCUUACCAAGGCUUAAAUGUAGAUUGACCGGUUUGGAAACAGAUCUUUCGCAAGACAAAUUACAAGGUGCUGCAUGGUUGUCGUCAGCUCGUGCCG